UACGUAGGGUGCAAGCGUUAAUCGGAAUUACUGGGCGUAAAGCGUGCGCAGGCGGUUAUGCAAGACAGAUGUGAAAUCCCCGGGUUCAACCUGGGAACUGCAUUUGUGACUGCAUAGCUAGAGUACGGUAGAGGGGGAUGGAAUUCCGCGUGUAGCAGUGAAAUGCGUAGAUAUGCGGAGGAACACCGAUGGCGAAGGCAAUCCCCUGGGCCUGUACUGACGCUCAUGCACGAAAGCGUGGGGAGCAAACAGG
rnacentral:rRNA from 1 species